CAGGGCCUCACACAUACUAGGUAAGUGUUCUACUUUUGAGCUAUAGCCUCAGGCCUUGCUUUGUCUCUUCAGGUUUUAUCAUCUUGCUUUAAAAAUGCCUUACAAUUUUUCAGCAGGCAGACAUGAUGUAUUCUGUAAUAGACAGAGGUAAACAGGCCUGUGGUGAAUUUAUAUCUAUCAGCUGGAGUUAGGCUGUGUUUACUGCUUACUGUAACUGUGUCAAAGGCUUCAGUUUCCUCUUUAAUUUGGCUCCCUUGUCUAAGUUUCCCUGGAAACUCUUUUGAGUGACAGCUUUCUCAGUUGUAAUUCCCUGUGUUUAUAUUGGAGGCAUACUGAUGCUGUAGGAAGGUUCUGGUCAGGGGAAGCUUCCGUUCUCCAUGGGCUCUGAGAAGAGCUGCCAUCUUCAGUUUGUCCCUGCAUCUAUUGUGAAGAUGGAGCCAUGCCUUUUGAGCUUUGGCAUACAAUUUGAGCAGAAACUGGAAGAAAGUCAUUCUACUGAAGUUUUCAUUGGUCUAGAGGAGAACAACAACAACAAAAAAGUGUGACCUUUUGUCCGAAGCCAAAUGUUAGAUUCUGGACAUGUUAAUAGAUGCCCAGCUCAUCACUGGCCUGGAAAGUUCCUUGAGAGCAGAAAUGGUUCCCACAUCCGAGGCUAUGCUGGGUAUAGAGGAUGCUGUGCCUGCUCCUGUCCCUCUGUGAAACCAAUAGCUGUAAAGAUCAGACCUGGAGACUCCAUGGCUGCCCCCUACCUCUGGAGGAAUAUGAUCUGGUGAUGCCAUCAUAAGGAUUUGGAAGAUGGAAGAAAGUGAGGCUACCUUAGGGGAGGCUUCAGCCAAAGAACCGUAGCAGUUUUGCCUCUUCCCUUCCAUUCCGGAGGUGGCAUCCAACAACAGGCUCCAAGCCUUGAAUGAAUGGUAGGUUGGCUGGUGGCUCGAAAACAUUGUCUUUGUCUGUGAAUUAUGGCCAGGGAACAAUGUGAUUUUAUUAACAGUAUCGUUAGUUGGAUGUAGAUUCUAAGGGAUGUGUAGUUUCCUUUUUUUUCAGUUUUAUUUAUAAAACAACCUUUUUAAUUUUAAUUAAUUAACUUUGAGACAGGGUUUCUCUGUGUAGCCUUGACUUCCCUGGAACUCGAUCUUGUAGACAGGCUGGCUUCAAACUCAGAGGUCCACCAGCCUCUGCCUCCCAAGUGCUAGGAUUAAAGGCAUGCAUUACCACACCUGGUUUAUUUUAGUUUUUAAAAGAUUUAUUCAUUGUUACUUUAUGUAUAAGAGGGUUUGCUUGCAUGUAUGUCUGUGCACCCACAUGUUUGCCUGGUGCCCUUGGAAGAUGCCAUGUGGGUGUUGGGAAUCAAACCUUGGCCCUUUAAAAGCAGCCAGUACGCUUAAAUGCUGAGCCACUCUCCGGCUUCCUGUUUUUUCAAUUUUUCCAAUAUAUACAUAUAUUUGUUGUUGUUGUUGUUGUUGUUAGGGCCUAUGCUGAUUAGUUUUAUGUUAAUUUGACACAAACUAGAGCCAUUGAGAAGGGGAACUGUGAGGGUCAAAGCUACAUUUUAAGCCUAAGAGACCCAUGAAACAAAAAUGCCUGUGAUCUGCAAGCCCCUUGCCCAAGGGCAGAUAGUUCCUGAAAUGAUGAAGGCUAUUGUUUAUGGGAGAUAACAAGUCACAUGUUUUCGCUCCCCUAAACAAGUUUGCUUGACCCAUCUGCACUGGAUAUGCUUGAUCACAUGUGUGUGGGAGACUCACAGACAGGAAAUAUGUCAGGAUGAAUGCUUGCUCCUGAUUGGACCUAACAAGGGGAUAGUUAAGCCUCUGCAAACCAUCACUUUUGGAAACCUAGAGAUGGACCUGGCCAGAGCCCAUCAGCAAGCCCGAG
ensembl:lncRNA